rnacentral:rRNA from 1 species
AGUCGUACGCUUCUUUUUCCACCGGAGCUUGCUCCACCGGAAAAAGAAGAGUGGCGAACGGGUGAGUAACACGUGGGUAACCUGCCCAUCAGAAGGGGAUAACACUUGGAAACAGGUGCUAAUACCGUAUAACAAUCGAAACCGCAUGGUUUUGAUUUGAAAGGCGCUUUCGGGUGUCGCUGAUGGAUGGACCCGCGGUGCAUUAGCUAGUUGGUGAGGUAACGGCUCACCAAGGCCACGAUGCAUAGCCGACCUGAGAGGGUGAUCGGCCACAUUGGGACUGAGACACGGCCCAAACUCCUACGGGAGGCAGCAGUAGGGAAUCUUCGGCAAUGGACGAAAGUCUGACCGAGCAACGCCGCGUGAGUGAAGAAGGUUUUCGGAUCGUAAAACUCUGUUGUUAGAGAAGAACAAGGAUGAGAGUAACUGUUCAUCCCUUGACGGUAUCUAACCAGAAAGCCACGGCUAACUACGUGCCAGCAGCCGCGGUAAUACGUAGGUGGCAAGCGUUGUCCGGAUUUAUUGGGCGUAAAGCGAGCGCAGGCGGUUUCUUAAGUCUGAUGUGAAAGCCCCCGGCUCAACCGGGGAGGGUCAUUGGAAACUGGGAGACUUGAGUGCAGAAGAGGAGAGUGGAAUUCCAUGUGUAGCGGUGAAAUGCGUAGAUAUAUGGAGGAACACCAGUGGCGAAGGCGGCUCUCUGGUCUGUAACUGACGCUGAGGCUCGAAAGCGUGGGGAGCAAACAGGAUUAGAUACCCUGGUAGUCCACGCCGUAAACGAUGAGUGCUAAGUGUUG